ensembl:snoRNA SNORD10 small nucleolar RNA, C/D box 10
GUUUAAUGAUGAUCUCCAUGCGUGUCAACUGAUCCCAGGUUUCCAUCCAUUACCUGGCCACUUAAUGGUGUUUUACCAUGUGUUGGUACCAGUUUUGGAGGAUCCUAGGGAAGUGAUCUUAACCCUACAGAUUCUGAAAAU